ACGGGGGUUGCGAGCGUUGUUCGGAAUUAUUAGGCGUAAAGGGCAGGUAGGCGGAUUGUUAAGUCUGAUGUUAAAGCCCAGGGCUCAACCCUGGUAAGGCAUUGGAUACUGUCAGACUUGAGUACGGGAGAGGGAGGUGGAAUUCCUAGUGUAGGGGUGAAAUCCGUAGAUAUUAGGAGGAACACCGGUGGCGAAGGCGGCUUCCUGGACCGAUACUGACGCUGAGACGCGAAAGUGUGGGUAGCAAACAG
rnacentral:rRNA from 1 species